GAGGAAGCAGAAAAACAAGCCGAUGAAUGUC
rnacentral:piRNA from 1 species